rnacentral:lncRNA from 12 species
UAAAUGAAUAAAGAAGGUUAACUUGAAUUCUUAAAGAGAACUAUCUGUGCUUACGUGGGUGUUUCAUCAAGGGGUCAAGAAUAAUAUGAAAGGAGCAAAGACAAAUUAGAACUGUAGAAUACUAGUGCAAUAAACCCAAAUAAAUCAGUUUUAAAUGACCAGAUUUGUGAUCCUCCAGAGAGCACUGUUGCAAGAAAUCCCAGUCUCAUCUCUUCCUGCCCACACGCAUUCUUUCUAAUAAGAUCAAGAAGACACAGGCAGCUCUGUGGCCUAUUUGAGAUUUAUGCAGCUAUCCGAAGGAACAGCCCCAUUUUUCAUUCCUUUUAACCCUUCCCCUGCCCUCUCCCCAUUCUGCUCUAACAAACCCAAGCAAUAUAAUAAUGGCAACAUCUGCCAUGCAGUUAUGCAGCAUGAGAUCUGAAAACCUUUGCUUUCCAGGUGCAUAUCUGCAGAGCAUAGUGAGAGGUCUGGGAUUCCAGAUGCUGGGGAUCAUCAUCAUCAUCAUCAUCAUCAUCAUGAAAGUCUAUUUUUUAAUGCUUAAGAACAAAGGAGAAAAAAACCCAUCAUUGUGAACCCAGCAUCAUUAACAAUAUUUUGGAGCAGAAUACAAU